rnacentral:rRNA from 1 species
AAUCAACGCUGGCGGCGUGCCUAACACAUGCAAGUCGAACGCGAAAGUCCCGCAAGGGACAAGUAGAGUGGCAAACGGGUGAGUAACGCGUGGGUGACCUGCCUUCGAGCGGGGGAUAACGUUCCGAAAGGGACGCUAAUACCGCAUAACAUUCCGUCUUUGAAGAGAUGGAAAUCAAAGCUGGGGAUCGCAAGACCUGGCACUCGAAGAGGGGCCCGCGUCCGAUUAGCUAGUUGGUGAGGUAACGGCUCACCAAGGCAUCGAUCGGUAGCCGGCCUGAGAGGGCGGACGGCCACACUGGGACUGAGACACGGCCCAGACUCCUACGGGAGGCAGCAGUGGGGAAUUGUUCGCAAUGGGCGCAAGCCUGACGACGCAACGCCGCGUGGAGGAUGAAGAUUUUCGGAUCGUAAACUCCUGUCGAAUGGGACGAAAAGGUUGCGGGUGAACACCCCGUAAUCCUGACGGUACCGUUAAAGGAAACCCCGGCUAACUCCGUGC